rnacentral:rRNA from 1 species
ACAUGCCUUGAGGUGGGGGACAACAGUUGGAAACGACUGCUAAUACCGCAUAAUGUCUACGGACCAAAGGGGGCUUCGGCUCUCGCCUUUAGAUUGGCCCAAGUGGGAUUAGCUAGUUGGUGAGGUAAUGGCUCACCAAGGCGACGAUCCCUAGCUGGUUUGAGAGGAUGAUCAGCCACACUGGGACUGAGACACGGCCCAGACUCCUACGGGAGGCAGCAGUGGGGAAUAUUGCACAAUGGGCGCAAGCCUGAUGCAGCCAUGCCGCGUGUGUGAAGAAGGCCUUCGGGUUGUAAAGCACUUUCAGUCAGGAGGAAAGGUUAACGGUUAAUACCCGUUAGCUGUGACGUUACUGACAGAAGAAGCACCGGCUAACUCCGUGCCAGCAGCCGCGGUAAUACGGAGGGUGCGAGCGUUAAUCGGAAUUACUGGGCGUAAAGCGUACGCAGGCGGUUUGUUAAGCGAGAUGUGAAAGCCCCGGGCUCAACCUGGGAACUGCAUUUCGAACUGGCAAACUAGAGUGUGAUAGAGGGUGGUAGAAUUUCAGGUGUAGCGGUGAAAUGCGUAGAGAUCUGAAGGAAUACCGAUGGCGAAGGCAGCCACCUGGGUCAACACUGACGCUCAUGUACGAAAGCGUGGGGAGCAAACGG